rnacentral:rRNA from 1 species
CCCUUAGACGUUCUGGGCCGCACGCGCGCUACACUGACCAGUGCAACAAGCAUCCGUCCUUGGCCGACAGGCUCGGGCAAUCUUUGAACGCUGGUCGUGAUGGGGAUAGACUUUUGCAAUUUUUGGUCUUCAACGAGGAAUUCCUAGUAAACGCAAGUCAUCAACUUGCAUUGAUUACGUCCCUGCCCUUGUACACACCGCCCGUCGCACCUACCGAUUGAAUGGUCCGGUGAAGCCUCCGGAUUGGCGCGCACCUCGGUGCCGCCGAGAAGUUGGCUAAACCUUACCAUUUAGAGGAAGGUGAAGUCGUAACA